rnacentral:rRNA from 1 species
UUCUUCGGAUGAAGAUCCUGGUGACUGAGUGGCGGACGGGUGAGUAACGCGUGGGUAACCUGCCUCACACUGGGGGAUAACAGUUAGAAAUGACUGCUAAUACCGCAUAAGACCACAGCACCGCAUGGUGCAGGGGUAAAAACUCCGGUGGUACGAGAUGGACCCGCGUCUGAUUAGCUGGUUGGUGAGGUAACGGCUCACCAAGGCGACGAUCAGUAGCCGGCCUGAGAGGGUGAACGGCCACAUUGGGACUGAGACACGGCCCAAACUCC